UACGUAGGUGACCAGCGUUGUCCGGAUUUACUGGGCGUAAAGAGCGCGCAGGCGGUCGUUCAAGUCGAGUGUGAAAGCCCCCGGCUCAACUGGGGAGGGUCAUUCGAUACUGAUCGACUGGAAGGCAGGAGAGGGAAGCGGAAUUCCCGGUGUAGUGGUGAAAUGCGUAGAUAUCAGGAGGAACACCGGUGGCGAAGGCGGGUCUCUGGGCCGAUACUGACGCUGAGGAGCGAAAGCGUGGGGAGCGAACAGG
rnacentral:rRNA from 1 species